rnacentral:rRNA from 1 species
UACAGAGGUCUCAAGCGUUGUUCGGAUUCAUUGGGCGUAAAGGGUGCGUAGGUGGCGCGUUAAGUCAGGUGUGAAAUUUCGGAGCUUAACUCCGAAACUGCAUUUGAUACUGGCGUGCUUGAGGACUGGAGAGGAGACUGGAAUUCAUGGUGUAGCAGUGAAAUGCGUAGAGAUCAUGAGGAAGACCAGUGGCGAAGGCGGGUCUCUGGACAGUUCCUGACACUGAGGCACGAAGGCCAGGGGAGCAAACGGG